CUGCCUGUGGCCUAGUGGGUAAGGUUACAGUUUUGGGAACAUGGGGUCUUAGGUUCAAGCCCAGUUAGGGACA
rnacentral:tRNA from 1 species